AUUGAACGCUGGCGGCAUGCCUUACACAUGCAAGUCGAACGGCAGCACGGGGGCAACCCUGGUGGCGAGUGGCGAACGGGUGAGUAAUGCAUCGGAACGUGUCCUCUUGUGGGGGAUAACCAGUCGAAAGAUUGGCUAAUACCGCAUGAGAUCGCAAGAUGAAAGCGGGGGACCGCAAGGCCUCGCGCGAGAGGAGCGGCCGAUGCCGGAUUAGCUAGUUGGUGGGGUAAAAGCCUACCAAGGCGACAAUCCGUAGCUGGUCUGAGAGGACGACCAGCCACACUGGGCCUGAGACACGGCCCAGACUCCUACGGGAGGCAGCAGUGGGGAAGUUUGGACAAUGGGCGCAAGCCUGAUCCAGCCAUGCCGCGUGUGUGAAGAAGGCCUUCGGGUUGUAAAGCACUUUCGGACGGAACGAAAUCGCGCGGGCGAACAUCCCGCGUGGAUGACGGUACCGUAAGAAGAAGCACCGGCUAACUACGUGCCAGCCGCCGCGGUAAUAC
rnacentral:rRNA from 1 species